GACGAACGCUGGCGGCGUGCUUAACACAUGCAAGUCGAACGGAAAGGCCUGCUUUCCCUUGUGGAUUGCGGGUACUCGAGUGGCGAACGGGUGAGUAACACGUGAGUGAUCUGCCCCCAACUUGGGUAUAAGCCUGGGAAACUGGGUCUAAUUCCCGAUAGGACUGCAGGGUGGUGCCUGUGGUGGAAAACGAUUUUCUAGUGGUUGGGGAUGAGCUCGCGGCCUAUCAGCUUGUUGGUGGGGUAAUGGCCUACCAAGGCGGCGACGGGGAGCCGGCCUGAGAGGGUGGACGGCCACAUUGGGACUGAGAUACGGCCCAGACUCCUACGGGAGGCAGCAGUGGGGAAUAUUGCCCAAUGGGCGGAAGCCUGAUGCAGCGACGCCGCGUGGGGGAUGACGGCCUUCGGGUUGUAAACUCCUUUCGACCGCGAGGAAGCCACCUGGUUGGAAGGGUGGUGACGGUAGUGGUAGAAGAAGCACCGGCUAACUACGUG
rnacentral:rRNA from 1 species